rnacentral:tRNA from 1 species
GGGGUGUUAGUUCAAUUGGCUAGAAUCUUAGAUUUGCAUUCUAAAGAAAAAGGUUCGAGUCCCUUACAUUCCA